AUCAUUGAGUAAAUAGUUUAAUUGGUCCCUAGAGGGGUUUCGGGGACGAUUAUGAGCGGAGGAUAAUUCGUAUGAGGAAAAUACGACGACGGUAAAAUGGUAAAUUUUAGCUAGUAAAAGGUAAUUUUUAUUCGGGUAUUAUUUUUCGGGGUGUUGAAUUUUGGAAUUUUGAGUUAAAAGGAUUGUUGGGUCGGCUGGGCCGAGCCCAACCCAUUUCUUCUUCUUUUCUCUUCUCCCUCUCUCCCGAUUCUCUCUCCUCCCACCCGUUUUUCUUCUCUUUACACCCAGCAGACUUCCGGCCGUCCUCCCGCCGCCGUCCGGCCACCAACCGCCGCCGCACCGGUCCCAAUCGAACGACCUCCAACCCAGCAACGUCCCUGGACCGGUGAGAGGAGCCCUAGCUCCGCCGUGAGAGAGCGGUCAACCCCGAAAGGUUCGACUGCCGGAAUGGGUUUUUCGCCGGAGCUCCGUCUUCCGGCCACCAUAGGCCGUGAUUUUUGGCUCAACUUGUAGCCCUCAUCUAGGUGAGUAAUCCCUCAAAAGGUUUCGGCUUAAUUCGAUUUCGUUAGGGUGGUUUGUAUAAUUGAAAGUUUUGGGGAUUUUUGGUUGUUUGUGUUCGAUCGACAUGGUUAGGCUUAGAAUUGGAGUUUGUGUUGGUCAUGAAAGUUGUAGAGGAGAUUGAGAGGAAGAUUCUGUUAAAAUUUGGUAGCAUUUGCAGGUUGCCGGAAUUGACCUCCGGCCGCCGCUGCCGGCGGAGCCGCCGGCGGCGCCGCCGCCGGUUGGGAGAUUUUAAUGUUGUUAAAUUUGGAAUAUUAAGGGGAGUUUAUUGAAGUGAGUUAUGGAAUUUUUGGAUGAGUUUUGGAUAGGUUUAUGAAUUUCCGAAGUGUGGUAUUUUUGGCGGGUAAUUAAUGUAGAAUCCGGCCGUUGGAUUUAAGUCGUAUUUUGGAGAGGUUGUAUUUACGACUGUGGAGUAUGAUAUUUAAGUUCGGAUCGUCCGAUGUAAGAAUAUCGAAGUUAGGCAAUAAUGAGCGUAAUUAUGGCUCUCGGGUAAUUUUGCCUAUUUUGAUUAAAUAUUGGAUUAUUGGUUGGGAAUUAAUAUUAUAUUUGGAACAGGACGUGAAGAGGCUCGAGCAGACGAGACCCCAGAUUGACAUCAGGCUUAGGCCUAAUUCGUGAGUGGACGUUUAUUU
rnacentral:lncRNA from 1 species